rnacentral:lncRNA from 1 species
AUAACUGUGAUUUUUCCUUAACAUCUUACAUUUUAGCAAGUUUUUUCUUUAUAAGACCUUUUAAGUAGCUAUAAGGUACUUCUGGCAAUGAAUUUUGAUUUGGAAAAAGAGUUUAGCCAAAUGGCCUAAUGUAUGUUGAUGUCUGUUAUCAGAGAAUGUAUUGUUCAUUCGCUCUUGUUGCUUGACAGGUUUCGUUACCUUUCCUUCUUCUUCACGGUGGAGAUGACAAAGUGACUGAUCCGUCAGUGAGCAAACUUCUUCAUGAAAAGGCGAUCAGCUCUGACAAGACCUUCAAGUUGUACCCCGGAAUGUGGCAUUCCCUCUCCCGCGGGGAGACAGCUGAAAAUACAGAGAUUGUGUUCUCAGACAUUACCAAAUGGUUAGAUGAGAAAACAGCCACAGGAAAUGCUAAAUUGGAAAGAGAACUGAAAUCUGGAAAUGAUGCUCUUCACACAGAUAGCUCUGGCAAAACGAUACUCGUAGAAUAGCAAGAACGCCAAAUCGACACAAUUGAGACCUUCAUCAUUCAUUGCGGUUACAGUAUUCUACCAGUAAUCAUCGUACAGCCUUGCUGGCUGUUAUUCAUACAUAUAUAUUUUACAGGAUGUACUGAUUAUCAGUGAAUUGGCAAUUACUUAUCAAAAUUCUUGCAUAAUUAUCAAACUGCAAUUGUUAGACAGAAAAGACCAGGAAUAUUUCAGUCUACGCAGGCUUAUUUUUAUCAGAUGAUUCAUUGCCGAUUAUCAGAUGAUCCAUGGCCAACACCAUGAUCAGCAAGAUUCAAGAAAUAUUUCAGUCUAUGCAGGCUUAUUUUUUUUUCCCGUCAAAAAAAAAACUCGCCACUUAACAAUUACGCAGGCUUAUCUUUAUUUUUCGUCAAAAAAAAACUCUGUGACUUAACAGAUUACGAGAAGACGUUUUACUGCAAUGUUGCAGAUGACCUAUACACUGAUACUGCAUAGUUUAAUCGGCAGAACUAGUUCGAUUCAACCACAACAAUGUUAUUAUAUAGACUGCAAUAAUUAAAAAAACGGCAUGCUGAGCACGAUUGGAUAGCCCAAGUAGUGGGUUUAUCCUCUGUUAUCCCCGGAAACCUGGGUUCGACUCUGGCUAAAAAAAAACGGCAUGCUAAGAAAUUUAUGGACGGCUAUUAUAAAAACUCCAAAGGGCACCUAAUCCUUUGUUGGACAAUGAUAAUAUGUUAUCCAUAGAUAAUGACUGAAAGAGAUGAAUCAGAUUACUUGCGUGUGAGUAUUUUUUUUUUUUUUUUACAAAUAUGGCUUAUAGCCUUACAAAUGAGUAUAUGUUCUAAGAAUUCUCGGGACUGUCCUGGGACAAACCCAGGACCUGGGAUGAGGAUAAGGUAUUAACUACGGAGCUAUCUAACCGUGCUCAUGUAGAUUAGUUGUUAAAGCUUGUUUUUUGAGAAUUCAAUUGUGUUUAGUGAGAUGGUUAGUGAUUUUGAUAUGAUCUUGUGCAGGAGUACAUAACGAAUUCGAGAAACAUGAAGCUUUUUACUUGUAGAUGGCUGCCUAGUUCUGAGCCAAAGGGUCUGAUCUUUCUCUGCCAUGGGUAUGGCAUGGAGUGCAGUAUCUUCAUGAAAGGUCAGUGUUACAAGUCAUGAGUUGUGGUUUGUAACGGCAGAAAUAUUUAUUUUUGUGUGUGUUGAAAGCCGUUGACUCGAUUAGAAAUAAGGUUUGCUGACAUGAGGAUGAAUGUAACUGCAGACACAGGGAUUAGGCUUGCGAAAGCAGGUUAUGCAGUUCAUGGAAUAGACUAUGAGGGUCACGGAAAGUCAUCUGGGCUGCAGGGAUAUAUUAAGGAUUUUGAUGCGCUUGUCACAGAUUGUUCUGAACAUUUCACAGGCAUAUGUGGUAUGUUGAAUUCAAUUUGAAAGAAUUCAAGUGUGAGCUUUGAAUUGUUGGUGGCAGACUCAGAUUUUUAAGAAAAAGGGUAAUGAAAUUAUGAAACUAAUGUUUUUGUUGGCGAUAUAUGCAGAACGGAAGGAGAACUCGAAGAAGCUGAGGUUUAUCAUGGGAGAAUCCAUGGGGGGAGCAGUUGUGCUACUUUUGCACAGGAAGAAGCCAGCCUUUUGGGAUGGAGCCAUUUUACUGGCUCCUAUGUGCAAGGUCUCUCUCUUUUGCUCUGCAAGAACACGUAACAGAUACCGUCUAUAAAUUUUACCUUAAAUUUAGAACAUUAUGUACAUAUAUUAAGCUGAGUUGCCAUGUGUGUGUGCAGAUUGCAGAUGAUGUUAAGCCAAACCAGUUUGUGAUUUCUGCUCUGACCAAGCUUACUCGGAUAAUUCCAACAUGGAAAAUCAUACCGACUCCAGAUAUAGUUGAUCUUGCCUUCAGAGAGCCUGCAGUAAGAAAAGAGGUACAGCAUCUAUCUCAUCCCUAAAGCUAAUCUUCUGUUGAGAAAACCCCAGACAAGUAAUUCUGAUGUUUUCUGUGAUAGGUACGAGACAGUCCGUAUUGCUACAAAGGGCGCCCUCGACUGCAAACUGCUUACCAGCUACUAACUAUCAGCUUGGAUAUUGAAAAAAGACUUCAAGAGGUCAUAACUGUGAUUUUUCCUUAACAUCUUACAUUUUAGCAAGUUUUUUCUUUAUAAGACCUUUUAAGUAGCUAUAAGGUACUUCUGGCAAUGAAUUUUGAUUUGGAAAAAGAGUUUAGCCAAAUGGCCUAAUGUAUGUUGAUGUCUGUUAUCAGAGAAUGUAUUGUUCAUUCGCUCUUGUUGCUUGACAGGUUUCGUUACCUUUCCUUCUUCUUCACGGUGGAGAUGACAAAGUGACUGAUCCGUCAGUGAGCAAACUUCUUCAUGAAAAGGCGAUCAGCUCUGACAAGACCUUCAAGUUGUACCCCGGAAUGUGGCAUUCCCUCUCCCGCGGGGAGACAGCUGAAAAUACAGAGAUUGUGUUCUCAGACAUUACCAAAUGGUUAGAUGAGAAAACAGCCACAGGAAAUGCUAAAUUGGAAAGAGAACUGAAAUCUGGAAAUGAUGCUCUUCACACAGAUAGCUC